AUAGGCAGGAUUUCUGGAAAACCAGCAGGAGGUCGUCUCUCGAAGCCUGGAGUUUAUUAGCACUGCC
rnacentral:snoRNA from 1 species